GUGGGGAAUAUUGGACAAUGGGCGAAAGCCUGAUCCAGCCAUGUCGCGUGUGUGAAGAAGGUCUUCGGAUUGUAAAGCACUUUAAGUUGGGAGGAAGGGCAGUAAGUUAAUACCUUGCUGUUUUGACGUUACCGACAGAAUAAGCACCGGCUAACUUCGUGCCAGCAGCCGCGGUAAUACGAAGGGUGCAAGCGUUAAUCGGAAUUACUGGGCGUAAAGCGCGCGUAGGUGGUUUUGUAAGUUGGAGGUGAAAUCCCCGGGCUCAACCUGGGAACUGCCUCAAAAACUGCAUGACUAGAGUACGGUAGAGGGUAGUGGAAUUUCCUGUGUAGCGGUGAAAUGCGUAGAUAUAGGAAGGAACACCAGUAGCGAAGGCGACUACCUGGACUGAUACUGACACUGAGGUGCGAAAGCGUGGGGAGCAAACAGGAUUAGAAACCCGGGUAGUCC
rnacentral:rRNA from 1 species